rnacentral:tRNA from 1 species
UAGCUCAGUCGGUAGAGCGCCGGACUGUUAAUCCGUAGGUCCCUGGUUCGAGCCCAGG